GAUGAAGAACGUAGCGAAAUGCGAUACGUAGUGUGAAUUGCAGAAUUCAGUGAAUCAUCGAAUCUUUGAACGCACAUUGCACCUCUCGGUAUUCCGGGAGGUAUGCCUGUUCGAGCGUCGUUUGUACCCUCAAGCUCUGCUUGGUGUUGGGUGUUUGUUCCGCCUCUGUGUGUGAACUCGCCUCAAAACAAUUGGCAGCCGGCGUACUUGUUUCGGAGCGCAGCACAUUUUGCGAUCCAGAUCAACGUACAGCGGCAUCCAAGAAGCCUUAUUUAACGCUCUUGACCUCGGAUCAGGUAGGGAUACCCGCUGAACUUAAGCAUAUCAAUAAGCGGAGGA
rnacentral:misc_RNA from 1 species